ACUGAAUAUGGCCGAAUGUCAUUAGCAGCUAUUGUAUUUGUAGCAUGUUUUCCUCCAAAAUGACCGCCAAUCUUUGUCAAGGGAUUGAUUGCAACAAUACAGGGUGAACAGAUUUGAAAUUGCUCUCAUUUUCGCAAAACAGCUAUUAGUAUCCAGUUUUUGAUGUACGAAGCGCUCGUGUUUUCAUACAUUGUUUUCUCGUGUUUGGAUAUCCAUUGUUUUCUCGUGUUUGGAUAUUGUUUGCAAAUCUCGUUGUUCA